UAAUUCUCUCCAUAUUUAAUGACAUUAUUAUGGACAGUUUUGUCAUUUUAUUCCUUUUCUUAAUAUGCGUGAAAAGUCCACCAGGACUUUUAUCCUGGGACGGAGGGAGUAUUAUUUAUAAUUUGUAUACUCACUUUGUGUUGAAAAAGUUAAGUAUCUUUUAAGAAAAAGGGGCAAUUAUUAUUAUUAAUAAUAAUAUUAAUAUUAAUAUUUAUAUAAAAAGGGACAAAACAUUAAUAUUACUAAUGAUGUGAUUAUGAAUAUUAGAAGUACAGAUUAUACCAAUAAUACUACUGCAUAACAUUAAAAUGAAUAGUACAAAUAUGUUCAUUUUCAUUUGUAAAAAAAACAUAACAUAAAUAAUACAACGGACGCCUAUUUUAGUGAUUUCGCUUAUCGUGGUCGGUUUCAAAGUCGCAAAUUGCACAUUUUUGAUGAGGCUUAGAAGUAAUGAUU
rnacentral:lncRNA from 1 species